UUCUGUCCGGCCUUGCCACUCUGUUUGCUGCUUAUUACUAGUUUAAUCUUGAGUAUCAGGAGGAAGCAGUGUGUACCUUGGAGUUCAUUCAAAGGUGCUUUGUGGGCAUAAAUCCAGAGAGAGGACCCAAAGCCAAGGGAAAAGUGCCAUCGAAAUAAAAACAGGACAAGUGAUACAGAAGAAAAUGUGUGGCAGUCAACCCACAUGUUGCCACUCUUCUGUGCAAAUUCCAAUGGAAUUUCUGAAAUUCACACUUUGAAUCCUGGGAUGGAACUUCAUCUGGAGCAUAAUUGUUAUUUGGUUGAUUUUUAUCUGUUUGAUGGAAAGUUUGUAUGACUUCUGCAAGUGCGCGGCUCCUUCCGGUCAGUCAUGCAUCACUUUUUUUUGUAUGACUUGUUUGGCAAUAUUGGUCUAUUCCUUAAUGAUGAUAGCUAUCUGAAAAUGUCUUUGUGGUUUUUAAAGGAUUAGUUCACCCAAAAAUGAAAAUUAAGUCAAUAAUUACUUAUGUCGUUUCACACCCGUAAGAUCUUCGUUCAUCCUCACAACACAUAAUAAGAUGUGGCUCAGUGAAGCGUGCAUUUCUAGCAAGAUCAUUUCUUUUUUUCAAUGCCCAGAAAGCCUCUAAAACAUUUAAAACAAUUCAUGUGACUACAGUUGUUCAACCUAAAUAUUAUAAAGCGACGAGAAUACUUUUUUUGCC